GCCUUUGAUUUUUUAGAACUUUACAUAAUAAAGUUGUAGAUUAGAUAAUGCGGGUGGCAGACCCACUCAAAAGCUUUCUGAUAAUGCUCUAAUACACCAAAAUAAAGUUGGAUUCCGAUUCCCAGGAUUAGAGACUCAAUAAGCAGCAAGAUACCUGCACGAAUCAUUGCGUAUCCGAUCCGAACAUCAUUUUAUACAAAUAAAAAGUAAAAAAUGUCAAAUAAAUAAAAAGAAAAGCAAGCAGCCAAACUAAAUCAUCCAGAAUAUCAGAACAGUCUGUUCAGUACCUUGGAUUUCCAUUUUCCAAACACUUUAAUUAAGAUUCUCCCAAUAAAAAGCAAGUAAGCAACCAUGCGACGCAUGCUUGCCAC
rnacentral:lncRNA from 1 species